GGCUUGAGGCCAGCGCCACUCACACUCUCCUCUGCUCAGCAGCAGACGGGCUGAGCUCCUCUUAUCCUUGCAUUCCUUGUCCUCCAUCUCUCUAAAAUCUUUCUCUGAGGGAGGAACAGCUAUAGCUUUGGGGCUACUAUAGCUUUAAGGAAACUUUUGGCAGAUGCCAAUGUCCUAACAUCUGGGCAGUGUUAACAGAAUCCUGGAGGCCCGGACAGACCAAGAGCCACUCAUUCUAGGAAUGUUAAAAAGUAGUUUUUCCGACUGAUGAGAGGAGCAGAGAGGAAGGAGAAAGAGAAGAGCGAGUACAAAAAACCCCAUACAUCAGAUCCUGCAUGUGUGCUUCCUCUCACUUUUGGAAGUUCAUUGAUGUCUGAUUUCUGAAAGUCAUCCUCCUUUGCCUUGGUGCUCUGGCCACAUACCUCUGUUCUUGAGUCCCUAACCCCCAUCGCAUCCCUCCCCACCCCCUUUUCAAGGAUGGCCAUUCAACUAACUCGAAGAGGAGCUCUCUCUCUGUUGCUCUUCCUCACUCCAGCAGUGAUGCCAACAUGGUAUGCAGGCUCAGGCUACCACCCAGAUGAAAGCUACAAUGAAGUCUAUGCUGAAGAGGUCCCACAGACUCGCAUCCUAGACUACCAAGGUAAUCCUCACUGCUUGUCAGGCUUAGGAAAGGCCUUUUCCAUCCUAAUGCCUAGGCCCUGUCUGAUGCAUCCUCACCCAGCUUGGCUCAUUUGUAUCAAAGCUGCAGUUCAGGGAA